rnacentral:lncRNA from 1 species
ACAGCUACGAUAGCAAAAAAAAACUAAAAUGUCUUCAAUAAUGCAAGUCACCUCUUUUUGAGAGAUGUGGAACCCUUCAAAAGUGGUUGGAAAGUUCAUGUGAAAAUGUUUCACACAUUUGGAAGCAGUUCAACUAUGUGCACCGAGACACACUUGAAAUCGUGCUAUCCAAUGAAAAUGUGAGUUACAUAGAGAGUAAAGUUUAUUAACAAAUUAAAAUUGUAUAUAAAAUAAUUUAAGCAAAAAACAUUCUCAUCAUAAUAAAAUUUAUUAAUUAGAGAAAUACCACUUUAAAUCCUUUCACAACAUCAAUCCAAAUUAUGUAAACAUGAUAAUUUAUCAAUAAAAUAAUAAUAAGAUGAUAAUUUUAAGUUUGCUACAAAUAAAUUAAUAUAUAUGAAAAUAUUACAUUUCCCAAUUAUUUUCCAAUUUUAAAAGAAAUUUUACGAGAAAAUCGAAUAUUAGAAAAAAAUAUUAGAAUAUUAGAAAAUCUAGUAUUUAUUAAAGAUAUAUCCUUUUUGUUAAAAAGGUGAUUUAGAAAUAAAUAUCAGAAAAAAAUUAAUGAUGGUAUUCUAAUAAUAAAUUUUAUUCAUUAAGGUAAUCAUUGUAAUUAAUCAUUCUAAAAAUUAAUGUAAUGUGACACGUAAAAAACUGAUUUUUCAAAUAAUAAUAUAGAAUUUCAUUAUUUUUAGUUGUAAUGAACAUUAAUAAAUCAUAUGCAAGUUGCUAUGAAUGAUAUGUUUUUUUUUUUUUUUUAGUAUUUUGUCCAUUAGUUCCAGAUUCUUCGGCCACUGACCAUCCGGAAUCACGUCUGUAAGUGGACCUUCCACAUUAGUUGAUCAUUUAAUUCAAUUUUUAACACCCAAAUCAUUGCAACUUGGCGCUAGAUUUAUAAUGCUUUUGUCAAUGAUGGUAUGGACUAUGGAGUAGUUACAUCAACAAUUGUUAAUAGCAUUCUUUUUGUCCCUUCCUAGUAGAUUAAAUAUAGUAGUAUAGUUUCAUCUUUAAGAACCAAAAAAAUAAGGGACUCAGCUAACCCUACAAAUCAUUAUAUUAUUGGAGACAUAACCUCUAUACAUUAAUAAUGUUUGUACUUUCAAGUUUUAUUAUUAAUUUAUACGAAAUAUUAAUU